AGGUGGACUUGUUAUCAUGCUGUUGAUAGCACAGGUGACCAAAAAUUCCCACGCACACAUACACAAAGAAGAAGUGCCUCGUUGCCUUUUAUUACAGGUAAAAUGGUUAUUAGGUUGGUUUCCGCACAUCCACCUUACGAAAGUAGAAAAGGGCAUUGUGAGCUCUUCUACGAUUCAAGUCGGCAGCUGGACGGACCCGGCCUGCUCAUUACACAUGACGAUGCAUGCGGUUAAGCUUUCAAUGAGUCACUUCUCUUCCUUUCUGAGUCACCUGAUUCUCAUUUGUAUUCCUCCUAUGCGAAGUUGAUGUAUAGGACCGGAUACACGCUCUCGCUCAUCUCUCUAAUCCUUGCAAUCACAAUUUUCUGUCUCUUUAGGAAGCUGCACUGUACGUGGAACCACAUUCACAUCCAGCUGUUCAUCUUCUUGAUCCUGAAAUAAGUCUUCAUCCUCAUGCAUUCACACUCGUUCCUCUUUACAAAAUGAAGAGCUGUACCACUGUGACUAUAACCCGGUAUCAGCAUUUCUUUCUCUGUUCAAAUAUAGACAUAUAACACUAGACAAAAUAGAAUUACAGUUCAUGAAUAAACAUAUGCUUUCAGAAAAUAUCUGCCAAAUGAGGUGAAAAGAAUCGGACUUGUUUUGA